rnacentral:rRNA from 1 species
CCUACGGGAGGCAGCAGUGGGGAAUUUUGGACAAUGGGCGCAAGCCUGAUCCAGCCAUGCCGUGUGCGGGAAGAAGGCCUUCGGGUUGUAAACCGCUUUUGUCAGGGAAGAAAAGGUUCUGGGUUAAUACCUGGGACUCAUGACGGUACCUGAAGAAUAAGCACCGGCUAACUACGUGCCAGCAGCCGCGGUAAUACGUAGGGUGCAAGCGUUAAUCGGAAUUACUGGGCGUAAAGCGUGCGCAGGCGGUUAUGCAAGUACAGAGGUGAAAUCCCGGGCUCGAACCUGGGAACUGCCUUUGUGACUGCAUAGCUAGAGUGCGGCAGAGGGGGAUGGGAAUUCCGCGUGUAGCAGUGAAAUGCGUAGAUAUGCGGAGGAACACCGAUGGCGAAGGCAAUCCCCUGGGCCUGCACUGACGCUCAUGCACGAAAGCGUGGGGAGCAAACAGGAUUAGAUACCCUGGUAGUCCACGCCCUAAACGAUGUCAACUGGUUGUUGGGAGGGUUUCUUCUCAGUAACGUAGCUAACGCGUGAAGUUGACCGCCUGGGGAGUACGGCCGCAAGGUUGAAACUCGAAAGGAUUGACGGCNGAGAGNGACGAGACGACGACGAGGGAGGAGG